UACGUAGGGGGCAAGCGUUGUCCGGAUUUAUUGGGCGUAAAGAGCGUGUAGGCGGUUUGGUAGGUCCGUUGUGAAAACUCGAGGCUCAACCUCGAGACGCCGAUGGAAACCAUCAGACUAGAGUCCGGAAGAGGAGAGUGGAAUUCCUGGUGUAGCGGUGGAAUGCGCAGAUAUCAGGAGGAACACCGGUGGCGAAGGCGGGUCUCUGGGCAGUAACUGACGCUGAGGAGCGAAAGCGUGGGGAGCGAACAGG
rnacentral:rRNA from 1 species